CUUACGCUGCACUCAGCCUGGGCUACUACAGAUAAGCUGGCGACGAUGGAAAAUUCCAUGGGGGUGUGUCUGCAACGGUGUGACAAUGCGUUCGGAUAAGACAAGGCUGGUCGCCGUGCGUCUGGUUUUUCUGUUGCUGCUUUUUACAAUGAGCCUGGCGACAACGGCAAGUUUUGCUGGACUGGCUCCACCGCCAGUGUUUCUGGAGAAAUCAGGCAAGCCAGACAUUCCUUGGGGGCAGUGGCGACGCCGUUUUGAACUGUUCCUAUGUGCUUCGGGAGCUCAGGAUCUUCCAGCGGAGCAACGUAAAGCCAUACUGCUGCACUCGGUUGGGACCGAAGGGCAGCGUUUCUACUUUUCGCUACCAGAAGUUGUUCCAGAGCUACAAUUGUCAGGAAGUGCGGCGUCGGAAGAUGAGACAGCAAAAGAACCGACAAGUGCAAAAAUGUAAGCCAAAUGUUUAUGACAUUGCUAUGGCCACAUUGGACGCGCAUUACGUACAUGCCCCAAAUGUAAUUGCUGGGCGACACCGUUUUCGUCAACGUAAGCAACGGCCCGGAGAGAGCAUUCAUGACUUUGUGACAGACCUUCGGAUUUUAGUCGUCCAUUGCGACAUCGGGAUGCUACAGGACGAUAUGGUACGAGACCAAAUAGUAGCAGGAACUGUAAUUCCCGGCCUGCGUGAAAGACUGUUGUUGGAAGGGUCGCGUUUGACUGUUGAACGCGCCAUUGAAGUUGGACGAAACACGGAAAGAACUUUUGCGGAAGCCAGAGAUAUGACCGAGAUGACCGAAGAUAAUCAGCAGGUGUACCGUAUUGCGAAAGAUAAAGAAAGCGCGCGCGUCAAAAGUAAACAAAGGACUAGCAAGCAUCUCAAGACCGAACUGAAAUGUUAUCGGUGUGGAUCUAAGGCCCACUUGGCAAAUGACAGUGUGUGUCGGGCAAAAAGGCAAGCCUGCAUGGCUUGUGGGAAAACUGGACACUUUGCAAAAAUGUGUCGGUCAGCUGGAGAUGUUCGAGUCGUAUCGCAUCAAGUUGAGUAUCCACCAAGUUUACCCGACAGUAGACAAGUAGCGAGGGACGAGCGUGGACAUACUACUAAUGCCGGAUUCCAAGAUGCAAUGGUACCGAAGAUUACAGAGCCACAGGAUGAAUCGCCUAUAGUGCUACAGCUAGGCUCCUCGAGAGCGCAACAUAUUCGAGUCAAGCUACAGGUUGAGGGACGGGACGUGGAAGCUCUUGUUGACACGGGCUCGUGUCCAUAAUGAACGAAGUGUACCAGCAUUUCGCGACUCAGCAUCCUUUGACGUCAACUUCUGUGCGUUUACUUGACUUUUCGAGGCAAUGUAUUCCCAUUGAAGGAUUCUUCGUAGCAGAGGUGACAUACGCGGAACAUUCUUCAAGAAUUGUGUUUUGUGUGGUGAACACGGGAGCUCCGCUGCUUGGCCGCGACGGCGUUGCUGCGCUUCAGCUACACACUAGUGCGUUUCCAUGCGUGCGUACGGCUGCGUACGGUGGUUACCGUGGCAACAGGUGCGAAUGAGACCUUACGCAGUCGAACGCAAGGAGUUCGUCUGAGCUCAACUUUUUCCAACGCACGCUUCACAGGGGUGGCCUCCAAUGUAUUGCUCCGUAGACGAAAGCGUGCUGGGCGAACGCAAUGCAUCCUGGACAGGUCCUGGUCGCACGUCACAGAAAACGUCAAGGCACACGUGACCUUAAAGAUGGCGGCGCCCGUGAUCGGCGGCCAAACCGUUUGUAAACAAUGCGGUUGUUUCUGGACGACGUUUUGGAUGUUUUUCGAUCACGGUAAUUAUUUUUAUCCGAUAAUCCCGCAUUAAAACGCGCAGUUUUACACAUAAAGCACACAUAUUACACAAUACACAUAUUGUUGACAGCUUCCAAAGAUGUGAUGACGACCGCGCGUUAAGACUUACCGAGCCGAUGUGAUGUACGUAAACUGAGGUGAAAUGGGCUACCAUGUUGCGGAAGAAGCACCGCAUAGUUUACGCUGGCAAAAUAUGGUCAUCUCUUUGUGUUAUAGGCAUGUUCGGCUGGAGUUUCGGGGGGCGACGGCAGCGCUGCUUUUCUCCCCUGGUGGGCCAGUCUUGCAACUCUGCUAAGUACACUCGUAUUCGCUUCGGCUACAGUCGCACGUGUAUGGUUCAAGUUUUUCGCUUAAUCACUACCGUUCGUGCCACAAGCGUUGGUAGGAACAACAUUAGUACCUUUAUUCUCACUAUAAGGGGGGAUACACUCUUAAGUGGCUUGUGGGUAUCAUUCCCAAUGGCAUGAUUGCGUUUGUUUCUGAGCCCUAUGGGGGACGGCACUCAGAUUCCCUCAUAACAAGGCAGUCUGAUUUUCUCACACAUGUUCUGCCUGGUAAUGAGCGACAAGGAUUUCCCAGCAAUAAAAACUAUAAUGGAGGAAUAGGGAGCUGUUCUCCUGAUGCCACCAUUCAACACUGGGGGAGGUCAGCUUUCUGUAGAGGACAUGAACUCUACGCUUGUCAUAGCACAAGUAAGAAUCCAUGUAGAGCGUGUAAUUCAGAGGUUGAAACUGUAUAAUGUCUUGAACAACGGCGUACCGCUUGCCCUAAUUCCCCACAUGGGUAAAGUAAUGAAAGUGUGUGGGGCCCUUGUCAACCUCCAGGCACCGAUCAUAAAAUCGUAGCUGUGUUAAAUGUCCUACUGCUCUGCAAAUGCUACCAAGGCCUGCUAAACUUCCACGGAAGUGGGGUGCUGAGAGACGUGAAAUAAAACAUUGAGAACAUACUGACUUGUGACAUAUACAGGGUCCGCCAAGAUAAACUCCCGCGUUUGUAGUGCUGAUAAAAUGAAUUAUGCGGGACCCUCAGAGCCAAAUCGCAUAUCAGAGGAUGAAUAAUGCUCUAGAAUUUCAUCUCAUAGCCUUGCUUUUGUUUAAUUCGCCGUGGAUAAUUCGAAAAAAAAAACGCGGCUCUUUUAACAUUUCCUAUUGCCUAUACGGCGCUAAGCCUAUAAAACCACCCGCGGGGCAAGACUGCUAUCAUGCCGCUAAUCCCGCUGCAUCCUGCACAUUCACAUUACAAAACCCUUCCUAUGUUGCGUAUUGCUUGACGAGUAGCGUCCCUUUCUUGACAUUUGCUGGAGAGAAAAAAAAAACGUUUUGUUUGUUUGUUUGUCUGUAAGAAAAAAAACAAGGAGAAAUUGAACUUUUCUCCCGAUUUGUUCUGCUACUCCUAACAAAGUUCUCACCCCACCCCACCCCCAAAAACUACUUCUCAGGUGCUCUACUCGCAAGUUCGCCAUUCACUAUCCACAUGUUCACUAGAGAAAAAAACUAGAAAGAAACGUCAAUCCCGCGCACUUCAGAGAACGAGUAAGAGAGCCGAAGCAUAUCCCAGCCGUACGAAGUACUGUGUGGCUAUGCCAAACAGCACACCGUGUACCAGGUCCCCCAAGGUCGCCAUUUUCCUAUGUAUUUGUUCCUAUCCCGAUGCGUGCAAUGCCGGAGGCCGCCCUUAGAUACCCCAUUGUUACCAGACGUUGGCUUGCGUGGAUUGUAGCGCGCUAAAGAUCCAGUUGAAGCACAAUCCAAGCCAGGCCAAGUCACCGAAGGAGAAAUGGACGACUGCAGCGCCUGCGGGGCCUGCGGCGCCUGGUACGACAGGUACGCUAUGUGAUGCACGCAGCCGUGCACUAGAUCCUUCCAAUCGCUCAACACGUUUAAAAACGGGACCAAAAAGUGAAACACGACAGAGAAAGUUGUUAUACGCGUUUUAUUUGGACAUAUAAAGACUAGAUUCAUUCGCAGAAACAACAAAAACAUUUUGCCGCUAAACUUGGCGCGCUGAAGUGAUCCGGAACGGCAACAGUGGGGUAUCUAGUGGCGGCCUUCUUCGUUGCACGCUUUUCCAAGGUGAGUUUGGGGGACCUGCCGUGUACUUAGCAGAGUUGCACAAAACUGCCACAGGCGUCUCUGAAAGCAAUGCGCACUCGCGCCCUCUGGCCAGCCGUACAGGCCUAUGACGGUGAAAAUAUGUCGGUAAGCGGCAAAACGACACGUAAACAAAGUCACAUGACCUCAAAAUGACGUUUUCUAUGACGUGCGACCAGGACAAGAUGGCAGUGUUGCCAAAAGCACCCGCUUGCGGGUAGUUACAACAAUGGCGGGUUUGUGUUACCCCUGUGGCACGCUUCAACCCGCAAGGAGAAAACCAAUCACGAAGCCGCGUUCUGGACAUGCGCGCUUCUAUCCUGCUGAUUCUCCUCCUCUAUUCUCUGUUUCAACAUGGCUGCCGUAAACAUGGAUGUUUGUGUGGAGCGAGUGGAGAAUCCACAAAAAGAUACGCAUGGCUUGCGCGACACAACGUUUCGGACACACGAGCUCAUCUGCAUCGAGGUGGACAAGCGCCAGUGGCUCUAUGACAACUCCCGGAGAAAUUAUAAAGAUACAAUCAAGCGCGAUAACUCUUGGGAGUCCAUCGGUCGUGCGCUGUCAAUGCCAGCGUGCGACUGUCAGAAAUUAUGGAGAGGGAUCCGUGACCGUACGCCCGGGAACUGAGAGCCUCGGAAGCCAAGCGGAGCUGCAUGGGCGCAGGGGAGGUCUACCAAUCCACUGUUUAGGAGCCUCGAAUUUUUAAAAGAAUUUAUCAGACCGCGCAGGACCAAGAAGCUCCCUGCUCCUUGUUCCUCCACAUCAGCUGUGUCCAGGCAGCAACCACAGCCUGCCCCUUACCCAAAUGGAGAAGUUGUGCAUACACCGUCAAGAGACAAUGAAGUGUCUAGGCUGUUGCUCUCUUGUGUGGAGAGUCACAUGGACAGCAACAUUGAAGAGGAGGGCAGCACGCCUGAGGCUUGUUCAAGCCAGGACAGUAUGGAUGGCCCCUUUCUGCCAUCUCAGACAUUUUCUCAGCUACGCAGCCAAGAGCUGCAAAGCUUCGAGAUGACACCCCCAGCCGCAAGACCAGCGCCGAAGAAAAGGAAAGCAUCUGAGGAAAGCCUCGCUUCGAUAUUGACACAGGCAACGGGAAAAUAUGCAACUUGGGGGACGGUGCACCAGACCUCAUUUGGACAUGGAUGACGAAGAAACUCUUCGGAACAGACUACGGUCCUUGGAAGUGAAAAAAAAAAGCGUCUAGCAUACAUGCAAAUGCAGAAUGUCUUGUUCGAUCUCAAAUUUGAUGAAUGAGCGAAUUAAAUCAUUCAUGUUGCUUCACUUGUUCGUA